rnacentral:rRNA from 1 species
UCGAGAAUCUUCCGCAAUGGACGAAAGUCUGACGGAGCGACGCCGCGUGGAGGAUGAAGUGCUUCGGCAUGUAAACUCCUUUUGCCAGGGAAAAAGUUUAUUGAUUGUACCUGGAGAAUAAGAGGUUGCUAAACUCGUGCCAGCAGCAGCGGUAAUACGAGUGCCUCGAGCGUUAUCCGGAAUCAUUGGGCGUAAAGGGUGCGUAGGCGGCGAUGUUAGUCUCCCGUAAAAUCUCUGGGCUCAACCCAGAGUCUGCGGGAGAUACGGCAUUGCUAGAGGAUGGUAGGGGUCUCUGGAACUCAUGGUGUAGCGGUGAAAUGCGUUGAUAUCAUGGGGAACACCAAAAGCGAAGGCAAGAGACUGGACCACUCCUGACGCUGAAGCACGAAAGCGUGGGUCGCGAAUGGGAUUAGAUACCCCCGUAGUCC